rnacentral:rRNA from 1 species
CCUACGGGGGGCAGCAGUAGGGAAUCUUCCGCAAUGGACGAAAGUCUGACGGAGCAACGCCGCGUGAGUGAUGAAGGUUUUCGGGUUGUAAAGCACUUUCAGCGGGGAGGAAGGCGGUGAGGUUAAUAACCUCAUCGAUUGACGUUACCCGCAGAAGAAGCACCGGCUAACUCCGUGCCAGCAGCCGCGGUAAUACGGAGGGUGCAAGCGUUAAUCGGAAUUACUGGGCGUAAAGCGCACGCAGGCGGUCUGUCAAGUCGGAUGUGAAAUCCCCGGGCUCAACCUGGGAACUGCAUUCGAAACUGGCAGGCUAGAGUCUUGUAGAGGGGGGUAGAAUUCCAGGUGUAGCGGUGAAAUGCGUAGAGAUCUGGAGGAAUACCGGUGGCGAAGGCGGCCCCCUGGACAAAGACUGACGCUCAGGUGCGAAAGCGUGGGGAGCAAACAGGAUUAGAUACCCGUGUAGUC